rnacentral:rRNA from 1 species
AUACGGAGGGAGCAAGCGUUAUUCGGAAUCACUGGGCGUAAAGGACGCGUAGGCGGGUUUGUAAGUCAGGUGUGAAAUCCUACAGCUCAACUGUAGAACUGCACUUGAAACUACAGACCUAGAGUAUGGAAGGGGCAGAUGGAAUUAGUGGUGUAGGGGUAAAAUCCGUAGAUAUCACUAGGAAUACCGGAAGCGGAGGCGAUCUGCUGGGACAUUACUGACGCUGAGGCGUGAAAGCGUGGGGAGCGAACAGGAUUAGAAACCCUUGUAGUCC